CCUACGGGAGGCAGCAGUAGGGAAUAUUGCUCAAUGGGGGAAACCCUGAAGCAGCAACGCCGCGUGGAGGAUGACGGUUUUAGGAUUGUAAACUCCUUUUGUUAGAGAAGAUUAUGACGGUAUCUAACGAAUAAGCACCGGCUAACUCCGUGCCAGCAGCCGCGGUAAUACGGAGGGUGCAAGCGUUACUCGGAAUCACUGGGCUUAAAGAGUGCGUAGGCGGGGUAAUAAGUCAGAUGUGAAAUGCUGUAGCUUAACUACAGAACUGCAUUUGAAACUGUUACUCUGGAGUGUGGGAGAGGUAGGUGGAAUUCUUGGUGUAGGGGUAAAAUGCGUAGAGAUCAAGAGGAAUACUCAUUGCGAAGGCGACCUGCUGGAACAUUACUGACGCUGAGGCACGAAAGCGUGGGGAGCAAACAGGAUUAGAUACCCGUGUAGUC
rnacentral:rRNA from 1 species